GGACCAAUGAUGAUUACUGGUGGUUUGAAUCAUGGAUGAUAAAUAACAUGUGUCAGAAACUCUGAGGUCCAGCAAAAAAAAAAAAAUCUAAGUCAGUCUUUCUGUAGGGAUCCUGUAGGUAGAAGUCAGGGAUAUACAAAGAUCUUGUUUAUUUCUUGUGUUCUUUCAUGAAUUUUCACUUCAUUAUUAUAGUCAGAGCAGGGAAAUAAAUAAUCAAAUAAGUAAAUAAAAGAAAUGGAGUGUGUGAAUAUCUCAUAUAAAAAUUUGUAUUCACGCAAGAAAUGCUGUAAAAAAUUGAGAAGACACUUAAAACCAAAGAGAAAGAAAGAGUACAUGACUUAAAUUUUUGGCUAAUUUAAUACAGACAAUAGUAAGUAAUAGUCGUGGCUCACCUUCUGUGUCAGGGAUAAGUUUUAAGUUCAUUUUCUUAAGAGAAAAUGAAACAUACUCCAAAUAAAAGAUUGUCUAAAUCACUGAAAAGUGAAAUGCGCAAGUAAGGACCAAUGACAAUUAGGUCUCGAUUCGUGGACAUCGCCUCUGCCCCGUACGUCACGGAAUGGGUGCCUUGAGAUGAUUUAAGUUUCCUCCAUGAUCAAGAGCCCCCUGGUUGCAUCUUUGUGUUAGAAUCAUGGAGAACAACGGAAUCGUCAGUGUCCUUGUGUGGGACGGAGCCAUGUUUUUAGAUAAGGUAUUACUGUAUUAUUAAAAAUAUUAAGUAUAAUCAAAGAAGUCCAAACACGCCACUGUCAGUGACCAUGGAUGGAAAAGAAUGUGAUGCUAUAUCCGUAUAUGAUACACUGAAUUCAGUUAAUGAAAGGGCUGGGUCUCCGCGGAGGUGACUUUAUAGACUGAUGUUAGGAUUAUUCAAAGGACUUACAAUUUUUUUUGUGAUUGAUGUUUAUUUAAGUAAUUGUGAAUUAAUCAAAACAAAAAUGUCCAUGAACGAGAAAAGAGCCAGUGUGCUUCUGUGGGAAAUGAUGCCCAAGAUCAAAGUUAGGAAGAGACAAACGUCAGAUUCCCAUUUGGAGUUUAUAAAUGUAAAUGUAUAAUUAAUAAUACAUAGAAGAACAAUUGUAAAAUAAAACAACCAUAUAAAAGAAGCUGAAGGAUUGUCGUAUGAAACAUGUGGUAGGACAAGAAACACUAUUUUUUUUUUCUUUUUUUGGCUUUUGCCAUUUCUUGGGAUGCUCCCGCAGCAUAUGAAUGUUCCCAGGCUAGGGGUCUGACUGGAGCUGUAGCUGCUGGCCUACGCCAGAGUCCACAGCAAUGCAGGAUCUGAGCCCCGUCCGCAAGCUACACCAUAGCUCAGGGCAACGCAGAUCCUUAACCCACUGAGCAAGGCCAGGGAUCGAACCCGCAACCUCAUGGUUCCUAGUCGGAUUCGUUAACCACUGAGCCACGACGGGAACUCCAAGAAGUACUAUUAAUAAAACUGUAAAUGUUUGUUAUAAUUAAGCAGUAAAUGAGUAAGCAUUUUGCAUGUUCGUGGAAAGGAUCCUACAGAUACUGAUGAAUGAGAGCCAACAUUUUUGUGUGGUAUCAGUCUCUUUUAAAGGGUUUGUGUAUAAGAGGAAAACUACCAUAUUAACAAACUAUUAUGUUUAGAAUGGAUAAGCAGAGAGGUCCUGCUGUACAGCACGGUGAACAGUAUCCCAACUCUCGAGGUAGAAAAUGAUGGAAGACCGUAGGAAAAAAUAAUGUGUAUCAGUAUAUGACUAUGCUGCACAGCAGAAAUGGGCACAGCAAUGUAAAUCAACUAUACGUAAAAAUUGUUAUGAAAAUAAAAAUUUAAUGAGUGCAUAAAAAAGGAAACGUCCAUUAAAAGAAAUACGGAGAUUAAGUGAGAAUUUCUUAAAUUAUUUCAUAUGAAAAUUUAAAAACUUGCCUUGGGGUGCCUGGGAAAGGGAAUUCCAUGUUUAAAAAAAUAGAAAAGGAAACGAAAGGGAGAGGGAGUAAAGGCAAGACCAAAUUGCACAGUCCAUGGUGACAGGUAUCAUGAGACGCUUCCCAUCCCACGGACCCCUGGAAGUUCAGGUAGGGUAUUGAUAUCUUACCCAGCCCUUUAAUAAAUUGAUCAACAAAGAAGGUCAAGCUAAGGGAACACAGGAGGGACAGUAUUGGAUUGAAGAUGACUCCUGGUGGCAUAUGCGUCCUGUACGAUGAAAACCUGUCUGAAACUCCGAGGUCCACUGAAGGAGGAAUCUGGUUCAAUGUCCACAAAGCAGUGACCCAAUAGGCCGAGGUCAGGAAACCACGAGGGUGACUGACAGAGCACGGGCAUUCCAGCGUUUUCCUGGUGUUAGCCCAAUGGGAAAAUGUGAGCACCCGUCCGGCAGUAUCAGAGAACUGAAUCUAGAGAGAAAGGGAGUGAAGGCAUUUGCCAGGUCCUUGGUGACCCCCAUGGUAUGCCGCAUGCCAGGCUACGGCCAGGUGUGUGUGUGGAAGCCGCGAGCCUGGAGAAUGGCUGUGCCAUUGGGUCUCCUGCUCUUGGCUUUGUACUCCUCAGUGUGCAGCCGCCGGACCCGAAGGCAGGCUCCUUCCUGGAUGAGCAGGCGAGGAUGGCAGCGUUGUCUCUGGAUCCAGAAGGCCAGUGGUGGAAGCCGAAGGCCAGGCCAGGCUGCGUGGGGCCGAGACCCCUCCUCUGGCGGUGGUGGCAGGAGAGAUCCCAAGGUGAGGCAUGGCCCGUGCUGCCGUCUGGGUUCGGGUCAUGGAGGCCAGGGUCUGGGGUGUCCUGGCCUGGGUCCUACCUUACGGUCCAAGCUGAAGCAGAGCCCAUGGCCAAGGGCGACCUGCCACUCGGACCUGAUGAGGGGCGGAGAGCACAUGGCUAUUCAGGAGGAUAAGAGGUCCUCUCUCCGUGGCUACGGAGGGGCAAGCAGUUAGGGAGGUUGAAGGGGAUUUGACCUUUGAUCAUUGCCCCUCAUAUGCUGCUUAGACUCUUGUCAGUGAAGUCAUGACUGGCUUGACAGGAGUGGAGCCAUUCCCUGGGGAAGCCCCUGAAAGUGCAACAGUGGGUGUGACAGAGGAGCAGCAAUAUAAGCAAGCAUCAGGAACGUGGCCUUGGUCGCAGAGGUUGGUUGCAGUGUGGACACGAGGAGGAUGGAUGCAGAAGACAUAGCUUAGGUUUUGUGAAUAGCGAAGAGGAGUUUACUUCAAGGAGCACCUUCUAGAAUUGAUCCACAAAGAAGACAGACACAGGGGAGGAUAGAGGAAAGGUAUCGGAUCAAUGAUGACUGCUGGUGCGUGUAUGAGUCUUGUAUGAUGAAUACACAUCAGGAACUCUGAGAUCCAGUGCUGAUGCCGCUGAGUCCAAAGUCCUGCGGAAACUGAGCCAGGAGAACAUGGCUACUCAGGCGGGACGGAGGGCCCCACUCCAUGGGGAAGGAGGGGUGAGCAGUUCAGGAGGUGGCCGGGUCUUGAGCUCAUCCACACACGUCUGGCUUGGCUUCCUCUCAAGGAGGCCAUGGUGGGCCUGAGAGGCAUGGAGCCCGGAGUGGGUGUCUGGUUGGAGCCCCAUGAGGCAGUGGUGGGGAUUGGUAGAGGAUGAGGCCAGGCCAGUGAGGAACGCCCUGUCUGGACCCCUGAGGUCGCAGAGCCUCCAGAGUCCACUGUGGGCUGGGCUGGGCUCCUUUGGGAGUGGGCUGGGAGUAGACCCAGUCCCGAUCUCGUUUGCUCAGGGGCUGGAGACCUUCAGGGGCCAGGGACCUCCGUCGUCAAUGUUUGGGUCCCGGCCGGGAUGGAGUUGGGUGAUGGAGAAGCCUGGUCCAGUGACUCUUCAGUGGGAAGACCGGGGCGCAGGGAAGAAGGUGUCACGAGACCGGCCUGGUGGAUGCAGGUUAUCUGAUGGAUGGCUCAAGGGGGCUCGGGCUCUGUCCUGGCAGGGAUCUGUGUCUUUGUGAAGAAACAGCGGCCCCGUUUAGGGGACUGAGUGCAGCCCAGCCCCAGCCCGUCCUCCAACCCCCAAGCCCCGAGGUUCUGCCUCCUUGGGCUCGUAGGAGAAUCACCUGGCCCCAGGGAAGGAGCAGAACCGGCUGACGCUUGAGUCCGCUGAGUGCAGAAAGGGCGAGUCAGUGGCGGUCCUCCUCGCUUUCCCUGUCCCUCUGUCACUGUCCCUGACUCUCUGUCUCGGUGUCUCUGCCUCGGUCUGUCCCUCUUGUCUCUCGCCUGGCUCUCUCUGUCGCCGUACGGGUCUCUUUCCUUUCUGGCAGCUUCGCGUCUGUGUGGUGGGGUGCCCACCGGACCCUGUCGAGCCGAUUGGACCCGUUUCCCUGGUGAGGCCCCUAGACGAUUCCUUCAGUGGGGGAGAUGGCCAAGGAAGCAGUGUGGGUAAGAGUCCGGCCUGUGCCUUUGGGUUGGGCGAGUUGGGCGCUGUGUGGGUGUCGGGAGGGUCUUCUGGGAAGGAGCCGGCGUUGAGGUUGUGAAGGGUCCAGAGGGUGUGGACGUCUUGGCGGCCCUUUGGUGAAUGGGUCGACCCAGAGGGUGGCCCUCAGGGAAGACGGAGGGGGGCAGUAUUGGAUCGAUGAUGACUACUGGUGGCGUAUGAGUCGUGUACGAUGAAUACGUGUCUGGAACGCUGAGGUCCAAUGUCCUCCGUGCCGUGACCCUCGCGGGCGAGGCCAGGCAUCCAGGGGGGCCGUCCAUGUGUCCUCUGGGGGGCCUUCCUGGUGCUUGCGUUCGCCCAGUGGGCCAGUGGGAGCCCCUGUGGACCAGCCUGCCAGAACUGAAGGAGGAGAGCGAGGGAGGGCCGGCAUUCCCAAGGCGCCAGGUCCCUGGUGACCCCACCCCCCAUGGUCUGCCUCUUGCCAUGCCAUGGGCUGCAGGUUGGCCAGAGGUCUUGGGCUGAUGUCCCCGAGGCUGAGGCCGUGGGGCAAGGGUGAGGUAGGCAGGGUCAGGGAGGGCCCACCUCUGUCCCGGGGCUGGGCGGCCAGCUGGUGGUUGGUGGGUGUCCCGAGACAGGGCUGUGCCCUGUCAGCAGGGUUGCCCCGAUGGAGGCGUGCAUGUGGAAGCCGCGAGCCUGGAGAAUGGCUGUGCCAUUGGGUCUCCUGCUCUUGGCUUUGUACUCUUCAGCAGGCAGCCGCGAGGCCCGAAGUCCGGCUCCUUCCUGGAUGAGCAGGCGAGGAUGGCAGCGUUGUCUUUGGAGCCAGGGGACCAGUGUGAGCAGCAUCCCAGGGCUUGUCGGGGCUGGGCUGGGCAGGGCAGUGCGAGGGGCUGGUGGAGGGUGGGCGGCAGAUGCGGGCGAGGCCAGCAGUCCAGAAGGGCUCUGGCGUCCCAGGGAUGGGACAGCUCUGGCUAGGAAGGUCUCUUGGACGUCCUGCACAGGGGCCCAGCUGGUCCUCCGCGGCCCAGAGAGACCGAAAGCCAGGGGACGGGUCCUAGAGGCUCCCCGAGGGAUGGCGAGGCCUCGUUGGGUGGGGCGGGCCCCUUGGGUUGCCCAGUGGCCGUGCGGGGAGGAAUGCCUGACUCCACGGGCCAUGGCGACGGAAGAGAAGGUGCCCCUUUUCUGGAUCGAUGAUGAUCAAUGCCAGCGUAUGAGGCAUAGAUGACGAAUAAUGUGUGUCUGGAACUCUGAGGUCCACUCGCAAGGAAACGGGGCCUUUCUCUUCCUGCCUUUCCAUCCUCGAGCCCAGCGGGGCAGCGCCGACCGCCCGAGGAGUCCAGUCGAUGGCGUCUCACUGUGGGUGUCACCUUGUCUCUUGGGUCCCUUAUAGGGUGGAAGCCGAAGGCCGGGCCAGGCUCCGUGGAGCCGAGACCCCUCCUCUGGCGGUGGUGGCAGGAGAGAUCCCAAGUUUUGUCCUUGGGCCAGGUGUUUGGAUUUCAUUGCCUUAGUCCUAAAUGGAGUCCCAACAUGAAGGACAUCCCUGCGACUGGAGAGCCCUGCCCCUCCGGGCUCACUAGUGGAGGCCCGAGAACAUGGAUAUUCAUGAGGGUCCCUCCGUGUGGAGUGUGUACCCCUCAGAGCAAUUGCACUGGAGAUGCUUUAGCAUCUUCCGUACGGACCCGAGCUCUGGGAUUGCCUCUGAACAUACGUGUUAGGACAUGGGAGAGUCACGUGAGUAACCGUUGAGAUUCCUUCCUCAGUUCAUUUGGAUUUAAACAAUCAAGCAAUAGAAAGCCAUGUAGAGAAACAGGAGCACUGUUGUAUCAAUGAUGACUUCCCGUGGCGUUAUGAGUGCUAUGUGAUGAGUACCUGCCUGGAACUCUGAGGUCCAGUGUGGAUGGAGUCUGUUCCAUCGUCCUGUUUGAAGUGGUCCUACAGGCAGAGGUUAGGAAUGAAAAAGGAUGUUCGUAUUGGUGAUCCUGACCGUGCAUUUUUAUCCUAUUUGCAUAGUAGAUCAACGAAAGAGUCAGUAGACAGGUGUGUAACUUUAAAAAUAUGAUGAAGGUGAUGCCUUUUCUCAUUAUAAAAACGUGUCUCUAGGCAGAAAUUAUUAUCUUAUACUAAGAUAUUAAUACAUAUUGAAAAGACUGAUAAUCAUUGUGAGAAAAGCGGUAUUAAUAUGCUAUCUCUUUGGCUAAGGGUGAUGUAGAAAGUGACAGGUAAUUGUAAUUAACUAAGUCAGUUAACAGUUUGACAUUUGAUUAUUGAGGGCAAACGAAAUAAAUAUUGCGAUGAGGAUAUGACUCCACUACUGUGCAAAUGGAUAGUGGAAGAUUUGGAUCAAGGGAGAGACUAUCUCAAUAUUUUUAAAACCUUGUCUGCUUGUUGUUGUUCAGAGGACAUGCUCCCGCUCUUUCGGCUUCUGCUGAGCUCAAGAUUGUCAGGCCGCCUCCGCGCCAGCAAAGAAGCGAAGGUGACCGUGGGGCAGGUUGUUGUUGGGUCGGGUGGUCUGUUUGCGGGUACUCAGGGUACUAUUAGAAAGCGUGGAAUGAAUCUGAAAGGUACUCGUCAUUCCACGCGAGAGGGGCUGCGCCUCACUGUCUGCUGAGGGAUGAUGGGCAGGACUGAGGUGGGAGAGUGGGAGAGAGAGCCCCUCGGUGGGAAAGGACGCUACAGACUGAGCUUAGGGAUGUUGGCGGACCUUGUUCUGGGGGGACGUCGCGAACCCCGUAUUGUAUUGACGCUUCUCAAUGAAGUAAUGAUAGCAUCGAUACCAGUACGGAAAUGAACGAGGCGCAGAGACUCGGUCAUGGACCAGUGAUGAGGGUCGUGACGGGAGGAGUCCUGAACGAUGACAACAUCUGAAACUCUGAGGUCCAACCCAGCGCCCGAGUCGCCUCUUGCCUUGGGUGUCACUGUGCCUGUAGAGCGAUGUCAGGAAUACGGAGACAUCACCUCCUUGUGUUAUUUCACGGACUUAGAUUUGCUGCUCUGGCUAGAGCUGUGUUAGAGCCAUCAAGCCGGCAUAAAGUAACAUGUGAGGAAACACAGGGUGAUGCAGUGUCCAAGUAGGAACAUAUCUCGUGAGGGAAAGAGACUGUCCGUAAACCCUGAAAGCAGGGAUGCUCAUUAAGUAAAUGGGGCAGGGCCACCUCUCUGACCGAGGUUAGAUCGAAAAGCAGAAGUAAGGGUCGCUUUAACUGUUCUGCCUCAGACGAAUGGUUGAGUUUCUUAACAAGAAAAAUAUCUUGAGAAAGAAAAAAAA
rnacentral:lncRNA from 1 species